UACGUAGGGGGCUAGCGUUGUUCGGAAUCACUGGGCGUAAAGGGCGCGUAGGCGGCUGGUCGAGUCGGGGGUGAAAGCCUGUGGCUCAACCACAGAAUUGCCUUCGAUACUGGUUGGCUUGAGACCGGUAGAGGUUAGUGGAACUGCGAGUGUAGAGGUGAAAUUCGUAGAUAUUCGCAAGAACACCAGUGGCGAAGGCGGCUGACUGGUCCGGUUCUGACGCUGAGGCGCGAAAGCGUGGGGAGCAAACAGG
rnacentral:rRNA from 1 species